UAAGAAGUCACUAUGUAACGGUCCUUAUAACUGUUCUCUGCACACUUAGGGACAGCUCAGUGUUCCCUGCCAGACCUUCACAUGAUAGUGUGAGCUCCCAGGGUGGCUGAUCUCCUGAUGCACAGGAUCUGGCUCAACCCCAGAAGGCUCCUGGCUUCCAUAAGCAAUCAGGUCACAGAGAUCUUGCCUUACGGUCCUCUAGACCUGCCUGAAAUCCAGAGAUGAGUAAACUGAGGCAGAGGAAUGUGCAGUGACUCGCCCAUGCUCUCACACAAGGAGGAAGGGGCAGACCCAGA
rnacentral:lncRNA from 1 species